rnacentral:lncRNA from 1 species
GCUUAACCAAACUAGUCCCACUGGCGAAGCUGCUGCAAACGAAUCACAACCGACGGUCAGACAACCUGUGCAAGUGUUGAGAGAGAGGUGCAGAGCUGAUGACAUAAAUCCUCUACACGGUUAUGGACCGGCUCUUUGUCUGGGAUUCGCAAAAUCAUAUCGGUUCAUGAAAUUAUCAGUUUUUAUGUCAUUACUUCAUGAAUGAUGUGCAGUUCACUGACCACAUUAAUAUAGACUCGGCUAGGGUCUAAGUUGAUUGAAGUUAAGCUCUGUACUCCACCAUUCUCUGACAAAUAUAGGUUUCCUGCAACUGACAUUUAUGUUUGUCUUCACAAAGCUCCAAUUUUUUGUCCACUGUCUACACUACACCGUAUCCUGGCAACUCCAUCUAAAUUGUUUGAUAUGCCCUUGAUCAAUGAGUAUUUCAACACUAUUACCUCAUUGUUUAGUGAAGUCUCGUUGGAAAACGGUUCUAGUGCAGUAUUAUUCAGAAGGGACAGUUUUGAGCAAACUUUCGACUUGAAUUGGAUUCCUUAAACGGGGCUCCACCUGAGCACAAAGGGAUGGUAAUGUUCCUUCUCAAACACCUCAGGGAAGUUACCAUGCAAUUGCGAUAUACUACUUCUAUGAACUUCAUUGUCAAUUGUAAGUGAGUGAAGGUUCCUAAUUUCCGUUUAAUUUUUGAGUGAGUAAAAAAACGAUAAACUUUUGAUUGUAUUAUUUUUACUGUUGUUUCUCCAAGUUAUUUCUUGUCAAUUAAAAUUGCGAUAGUAGUAGUGCUUUGAACGACUUCUUUUCAUAACCUGAAAUAGAACAGAUGUAGAUGUUUUAAACCGAUAACCAAUCCAGACUACCGAAAAUAGUUACAGAGAGAUCUCUGUUGGAGAAAAUGAACAAUUGUUGUGUUAGGAUUAUUUAUGUCAAAUACAUAAAUAAUAGUGUGUAGCUUCCAUUUGGCUAAAAGUAGAAAUAGAUUCAUAUCAGUACACUGCUAGCUACUCUAGAGUAGUAGAGUCUAGAUUAUACUAAACAGCUAGAAAACAAUAAUUUUGUCUUUAUUUUGGGGUCCAAUUAAUUUUUUUUUAUUCCAUACAACAUAUAGAUUAAAAAGAAAACCCUGUGUUUGAACAAAAUUUGAAUGCAAAUUUUGCAUUAGUCUCAUUUGUGAUUUUAGUUUUAGACUAAUGUAAUUACUAUAGAUCUUUGUUUCAUGCACUAAAUUUUAUUAUCUAUUUAUUUUUUUAAAAAAGUAAUAAUUAAUGUUUUUCAACUAAUUUACUCUGAUUAACUACAAUUAAUUAUGGCUCGAAAUAGAAUCAUCUCUAUAUUUUUUUCAUUUUUUUUCGAUCUCAUACUUAUUUUAUUUUUAUUUGGUUUCAUACUCUCUUCAAAAUAUGUUUGAAUCACGUUAUUGUAAAUUUACCCUAUCAUAUAUGCACUCCGAAAUAAAAUUAUUUUCUCCCUUACAAGCCUCGUCCUCUAUAAGAUGGUAUGAUCUGUAAUACAUCCAGAAGAUGUGCAUUCCACUCGUGUUAAUUAAAGUCUUUGGUAUGCCUCUAGUAUCUCAAGGUUCAUUCAGGUCAAAAUCUGUGAUAAAAUGGAUGUAUGCUGUAGAAAAUCUUCUUAAUUUUUUUUUAUUUUUUUUUGUAUUAGAAUUGGGCAUAGUGCAUAUACUUAUAUAGGUCUUACAUAGUUGAUGCAUUAUAUUUCAUGUAUUCUCAAUGUCAUACUCAUUCACUCAUAGCAGAAGUAUGAAAAAAAAGUACUCAAUUAAACAUUGGUUACUCUAUCUCUAUGUGGAUUUGAAGAAAAAAAAAGUAACUAAAAUUCAUUCCCCAUGUAUGAAUUAUAGUGCUAUAAUAUGUACAAGCAAUUUUUCUUGAUGAGUAUUGGAGUAUAGUCUGUGAUGUCGAAUUAUACGACUGAUCAGUGCCUUGAUCAUACUCCACCUAUUGUCAAGCUUCUCGCGCACAUUCUCAAACUUUUAUGCUUGAUGGCCUACUAUGGCGGAUCUUUCUUUAAAGUGUUUCUCCCUGGUCAUGUUAUCUUCCUUGGGUGAUGGCACAUAACUAACGACGUGUCUGAAACAUUCUAUUAUAAUUUGCGUCUAAAACAUUGAUACGUCUUGCAUGAAGAAGUAACCAGAUUCAAUCGGAUGUUUGGCUUUCUGCCUUGAAAAUCAAUGUUAGGAUCAUUAUGUUACUAAGCUAUAGGCCUGUGGCAACUAACAUUGUGUUUACUACGCUUCAUCUGACAUAUUUACUAAAUAAAAUUGCAUUGCUUAACCAAAGUAGUCCCGCAGAUGAAGCUGCUUCAAACAGAUCACAACCAACAGUCAGACAAUCUGUGCAAGUGUUGAGAGAGAGAGAGGCGCAGAGCUGAUGACAUAAAUCCUCUAGACCUCUACACCGUUAUGGACCGGCUCUUUGUCUGGAAUUCACAAAAUCAUAUCGGUUCAUGAAAUUAUCAGUUUUUAUGUCAUUACUUUGAAACAUGAAUGAUGUGCAGUUCAGUGAUCGCUUUAAUAUAGACUCAGCUAGGUCGUCUAAGUUGAGUGAAGUUAAGCACUGUACUCCACCAUUCUCUGACCAACACAGGUUUCCUGCAACUGACAUUUAUGUUUGUCUUGACAAAGCUCCAAUUUUCUGUCUACUGUCAACACUAUUACCUCAUUGUUUAGUGAAGUCUCGUUGGAAAACGGUUCUAGUGCAGUAUUAUACAGAAGGGACAGUUUUGAGCCAACUUUCGACUUGAAUUGGAAUCCUUAAACAGGGCUCCACCUGAGCACAAAGGGAAGGUAAUGUU